rnacentral:rRNA from 1 species
AUACGUAGGUGGCGAGCGUUGUCCGGAUUUACUGGGUGUAAAGGGCGAGUAGGCGGGUAAACAAGUCAGAUGUGAAAUACCGAGGCUCAACUUCGGGGCUGCAUUUGAAACUGUUUAUCUUGAGUGCUGGAGAGGCAGGCGGAACUCCCAGUGUAGCGGUAAAAUGCAUAGAGAUUGGGAGGAACACCAGUGGCGAAGGCGGCCUGCGGGACAUCAACGGACGCUGAGGAGCGAAAGUGUGGGGAGCAAACAGGAUUAGAUACCCUGGUAGUCCACACCGUAAACGAGGGAUACUAGGUGUGCGGGGACUGACCCCCUGCGUGCCGGAGUUAACACAUUAAGUAUCCCACCUGGGGAGUACGAUCGCAAGAUUGAAACUCAAAGGAAUUGACGGGG